UACGUAGGGACCAAGCGUUGUUCGGAUUUACUGGGCGUAAAGGGCGCGUAGGCGGCUUGUCAAGUCACUUGUGAAAUCUCUGGGCUUAACCCAGAACGGCCAAGUGAAACUGAUAUGCUAGAGUGCAGAAGGGGCAAUCGGAAUUCUUGGUGUAGCGGUGAAAUGCGUAGAUAUCAAGAGGAACACCUGAGGUGAAGACGGGUUGCUGGGCUGACACUGACGCUGAGGCGCGAAAGCCAGGGGAGCAAACGGG
rnacentral:rRNA from 1 species